rnacentral:rRNA from 1 species
CAUGGCAUCCAAGUACAAUAGGCCGUCAGUGGGACAUCAUAGAGGGUGACAAUCCCGUCCUUGAUGCCAAUGUACAAGUCCGUUACGAUGGCUAUNUCAGAGAGUCGAGCAGUUUGGGAUUUGCUGCUUAAACAUGGGAGGUAGAUUCCUUCUAAAGCUAAAUACAGGCGAGAGACCGAUAGAGAACAAGUACCGCAAGGGAAAGAUGAAAUAGAACUCUGUGAAGGGAGUCAAAAGGCGUGAAAUUGUUGCGAGAGAAGCGAUUCAAGUCAGCGUAGCUAGGCCCAUCAAGCUUUAUCGCUUUGGACUAGCUUUGCCAGCGGUCUCGUCCUAGAGACUUGACUUAUAUGCCCAGCCUGGUCUAUACAGGUAGCCCCUCUGGGGGCCAGUGGCAUGGCUGGUGGAAUGGCUUGCAAUCGACCCGUCUUGAAACACGGACCAAGGAGUCUAACAUGUAUGCGAGUAUAAGGGUGGCAAACCCGUAUGCGCAAUGAAAGUGACUUUCGUUGAUUGAGAAUGGCCUGACGACCAGACAAGCAAUAUAUGUCCCUCGAACGGCCAUUGCCCAAGUUCCGUGGUAGAACCCACGAACAUGGAGUUGGAGCAUACAUGCUAGGACCCGAAAGAUGGUGAACUAUGCCUGGACAAAGCGAAGCCAAAGGAAACUCUGGUGGAGGCUUGUAGCGAUUCUGACGUGCAAAUCGAUCGUCUGAUCUGGGUAUAGGGGCGAAAGACUAAUCGAACCAUCUCAUANCUGGUUCCUGCCGAAGUCUAU